rnacentral:tRNA from 1 species
GGGCCCGUGGCUCAGCCUGGUUAGAGCGCUCGCCUGAUAAGGCGUAUGCCGCAGAAAGCGAGAGGUCCGGGGUUCAAACCCCCGCGGGCCCA